rnacentral:rRNA from 1 species
AACGAACGCUGGCGGCGUGCUUAAUACAUGCAAGUUGUGCGAGAAAGCGGGGGCAACCCCGCGAGUAAAGCGGCGAACGGGUGAGUAACACGUAAGUAACCUGCCUUCAAGUUUGGAAUAACCCUGCCAACGCGGGGCUAAUACCGGAUGUAAUCUCGGGGUCGCAUGACUUUGGGAUUAAAGCUGACCUCUACUUGUAAGUUUGCGCUUGAAGAUGGACUUGCGUACCAUUAGCUAGUUGGUGGGGUAAUGGCCUACCAAGGCUGUGAUGGUUAGCCGACCUGAGAGGGUGAUCGGCCACAUUGGGACUGAGAUACGGCCCAGACUCCUACGGGUGGCAG